GCCGGCGUAGCUCAAUGGCAGAGCAGCUGUUUUGUAAACAGCUGGUUGGGGGUUCGAUUCCCUUCGCCGGCUCCA
rnacentral:tRNA from 2 species